GUUCCUGCUGGCGAGACGAAGCGCGGGACAGCUGCCUGAUCUGCUUUGUUUUUUCCCAAGAUGAUGGACUGUAACUUGCAAUUGUAAAUCCAGUCAGUCCUUUCCAAUCUUAUGUUGCUUUUAGUUGCAACAAUGGAAGUGAAAUUAGGACAGGGAUGAAGGAAGGGACAUCACUUGGUGCUGAUUUCAUCUGAUCUGUAGAAGAUAUUUGCUCCAGAAAAGAGCCUUCCAUUGUAAAACAAUUGAACCAGGCAAGGAGCAGCAGCAAAUAUCUUGAACCGAAGUUGGGGUCAAUCUGAGGCCAGUGGGAAAUUUCUAUGACAAACCUCUAAGCACAAAAGACUACUCCUUUCCAAGACAAGAGCCAGCUUAGUUCCUGAGACAACUGUAAGCCAACCGUCUGACAAAACCACCUGUGACCCCUCAACUGACCCCCCCCGAAAAGUCCUGGAUGCUCUACCUACCAUGAGUCAGUUUGAAGGUCGCUUCGCCCCACCCAUAGUACCCUG
rnacentral:sRNA from 1 species